rnacentral:lncRNA from 1 species
AAAUCUAAAAUUUAUCAUCUUUUUAUUGAACUCCCAAUUUUUUUUAUUAAAAGUUAAUUAAAAAAUCAUUCAUCUUCAACACCAUUUCAGCAUCGAUUAGCACACAUACUACACAUAUAGAUGGAGUAAUCUUCCAAAAAGAAUUUCUCCAAAAAAAUUCUAAACAGAUCUCAUGAAAUCUAAAAAAAAAAUCACAACUUGCUUUUUCUUCUUCCUCUAGACAUAAUCUAUUCUCAAAUACUACCCCGAUUCAAUAAUCUUCCAAAAAGAAUUCUCCACAAAAUUUCCAAAUAGAUCUCAUGAAAUCUCCCAACAAUUCCGUAAAAAAACUCUAGAAAUCUCAAAAAAAUCACAACUUGCAUCUUCUUCUUGCUCUAAAAAUCAUCAAUUCUCAAAUACUACCCAAAUUCACUAAUCCUCCAAAAAGAAUUUCUCCAAAUAUUUCCCAAACAGAUCUCAUGAAAACUCCUAAAUAAUACCUAAAAAAUUCCAACUUUAUUACCCAACAACACUCAAAAUGUGAAAUCCUACAAAAAC